UGAUUGAAAUCGCAGAGCAUAAAACGACCUUAGAAUUUCCAUGAUGCAAUCGGGGAGAAGAGAGGGAGAGAGAAGAAAAUAAAAGAGCUGUACUCUCUUCUCAUCGCGGGCUCUUUGUGGAGAACACACACACAUCAGCGAGACGUGCAGGGC
rnacentral:lncRNA from 1 species